CAGGAUGGUCUCGAUCUCCUGGCCUCGUGAUCCGCCUGCCUCGGCCUCCCAAAGUGCUGGGAUUACAGGCCUGAGCCACCGCGCCUGGCCCCAUUAAAUAAUUUUUAAAGUUUAACUGACACUGCACUCCUGGGAUAAACUCCACUUUAGUAAUGUGUAUUAUCCUUUUAAUAUGCUGCUGGACUUCUCUUAUUUAUUUAUGUAUUUAUUUUAUUUAGAGGCAGGGUGUCAUUCUGUCAUCCAGGCUGGAGUGUAGUGGUGCAAUCAUAGUUCACUGCAGACUUGAACUCUUGGGCUCAAGCGAUCCUUUCAUCUCAGCCUCCCCAGUAACUGGGACUACAGUCAUGUGCUGCCACACCCAGCUAAUUUUUGUGUUUUUAGUAAAGACGGGGUUUUGCCAUGUUGGCCAUGCUAGUCUUGAAUUCCUGGCCUCAAGUGAUCUGCCCGCCUUGGCCUCCCCAAAGUGCUGAGAUUACAGGCGUGAGCCACUGCACCCACCCACAAUUAAUUUUAAAGUAUUCUCGUUACUUGAAAAUCUGUACCCUUAGCUUCCUGGCCCCCACCAAAUUCCUUCCCAACUUCACCUGCAACCCCCCACACUAAACAACCACUAAUCUAUUAUUUUUGUCUGUAAUCUUUCUGUUCACUAAUCUUUCUGUCUCUGUAGAUUUGCCUAUUCUGGACGUUUCAUAUUAAUGAAAUCGCACAACCUGUGGUGCUUUAUAUGUGGCGUCUUUCAUUCAGCAUACUUUUUUUCAGUUUCAUCCGUGUUGUAGCAUGUAUUAGCACUUCAUUUGUUUGUAUUUUUGAGUAAUAUUUCAUUGUGUGGAUAUACCACAUUUUAUGGAUAUUUGGAUUAUUUCCAGCUUUUUGGUUAUUAUGGAUAGUGCUGCUAUACCCACUCAUAUACAAGCUUUUCUGUGAGCACGUUCUCAUUUCUCGAGUGUAUACCUAGGAGUAGAUUUGCAGGAUCGAUGUUUCACCAUUCCAGGACUGCCAAACUGUUUUCCAAAGUGCCUGCACCAUUUUACUUCCUCCUCAGCAGUGUAUAGGGUUCCGAUUUCUCCACAGCCUCAUUAACACUUGCUGUUAUCUUUUUCAUUAUCAGUAAGUGGCAUCUCAUUCUGGUUUUGAUUUGCAUUUCUCUCAUGACUAAUGAUAUUGGGCAUCUUUUCAUGUGCUUAUCGGCCAUUUGUAUAUUUUCUUUGGAGAAAUACGCAUUUGCUUCAUGUAUUUUUAAAAACUAAUCGAUACACAUAUUUAAGGUAUACAACUUGAUAGUUUGAAAUAAGUAUAUACCCAUUAAAAAUGUCACCACAAUGAAUGCCAUAAACAUAUCCAUCACUUCAAAAAGUUUGCUCCCUCUCUCUUCAUUUCUAAUUCUUCUGUUUUGUCAUAAGGACACUUAACGUAAGAUCUAUUUCCAGUAUAUGUUUAAGUGUACAAUACGGUGUUGUUAACUGUGGUCACUGUGCUGUACAGGAGGUCUCUAGGACUUACCCCUCUGGCAUGACUGAAGCUUUGCACCCAGUGAGCAAUGCCUGCUUGUUUCCUCCUCCCCCUAGCCCUUGGCAACCACCAUUCUACUCUCUGCUUCUCAGUUUGAGUAUUUUAGAUUCGUUACAUAAGUGAGAUCAUGUAGUAUUUGUGCUACUUUGUCUGGCCUCUUUAACUUAGUAUAUUUGCUGCAAAUAGAAGGAUUUCCUUUUUAUUUUAUUUUAUUUUAAUUUUUUUUUGAGACAGAGUCUCGUCUGUUGCCCAGGCUGGAGUGCGGUGGUGCGAUCUCGGCUCACUGCAAGCUCUGCCUCCCGGGUUCACGCCAUUCUCCUGCCUCAGCCUCCCAAGUAGCUGGGACUACAGGCGCCCACCACCACACCUGGCUAAUUUUUUUUUUUUUUUUUUUGUAUUUUUAGUAGAGACGGGGUUUCACCGUAGCCAGGAUGGUCUCAGUCUCUUGACCUUGUGAUCCGCCGGCCUUGGCCUCCCAAAGUGUUGGGGUUACAGGCGUGAGCCAUGGCGCCCGGCCAGGAUUCCCUUUUGUAAAAAGGCUGAAUGAUGUUCCAUUGUAUGUAUAUGCCAAAUUUUCUUUAUGUAUUCAUCCGUGGUUGAAAAAAAAAUUUUUUUUAAGCAUCUCUUUCAAUCUUUGCAGACUGGCUUUGUGCUGGGGCAUUCCUUCAGCACCGAACCAGGAUAUUAACAACUCUGUCUUAGCCUCCACUUCUUGAUAACCCUGGACCUAGAGAUCUUCGAAAGGAAAAAGCUUAGGGUCCUCUCAGAUCUUUCCUGAAUGCAUGACCUGCCCUGGGUAUGUACGUGACAUUUGAAAUCCCCAGUAUAAAUAAGUAUUUCUUGAAUGCCCUAAUUUCCCAAAGAAACUCUCCCAGCUUUUCCUCCCAGGCUUUAUGUAAUAUAUUGUAUGUCUGAACCACAACUUUUGUCCCAGGGAGCUGUGGGUUUUUUGGUCAUCUCAGAAUGUUUUCAAGCAAUGCCUGCCACUUUUCUACUUUGAGUGGAUUCAGACUCGGACAAAACAGACAAAUGCCUCAUUUUAGUCUUUCAGAUCGUUUCUGAUCGGUUAGAAUAGACAAACGAAGUCAUUUGUGAAUAGGUCUGCCUUGCUCCCUCUGGAACCUGGGACCUGGGUCCUAAAUUGGGAAAGUGGACUACUGUCUUCAAGAUCACCAUCAAGCUGAUGAGGGGGUGGGGCAAGGGCAAGUGAAAAUGCCACACCACUUUCCUGUCACUUUGAAGUUGCCCUUUCCUCAUUUCAGUGAUUUCCUGACUGACGUAAGUCUUUUACUGUUUUCCAGAGUUCUGGCCAAGUUUCUGCUGCUUUUUCUCAAUGUAUCAGUAGAGGGACAGGAGUUUGGAGCUGUCUACUCUGCCGUUUUCCUUAUGUCACUCCACUUCUGAGUCUUUCCUAUCUUUGUGGAUAGCAGAGAUGUCGAUCUCAGAUAUGAUACCCUGUAAGGUGGGGUCCUUCAUGAUGUGAUAUACAACUUAAUAUUCAUUGUAUGGUUUUAUGUCCCCAACAUGUCUAGUAACCAAGGAGUGGACAUAGGAGCGCCCCGCUCACUAGCACGCUCAGUGACACACUUGGGGAAUCUGUGCUUCGUGUCUACAGCUUUCGGCUCUGUGAGCUGAAGUCUUGGACUCUGACUGGUGACCAGUUAGAACCAUGGAGCAGCUCUACCUGGAUGGAAUGAACUUUAAGAAGCAGGUGGAUCUGAGCCAUGUACCCAUGGGUGGCUUGUGGAUGUUGCUGGCACCCUGACUAAACAUUCAUCCUCCAGUUGCUUUGAGUGUUGAUGAAGGAAGUGCACAGUUGCCCUUUUCCCCAGAGAAUUGACCUUAGUGAAACAGAAGGCCCCCUUCUACCUCACACCCUUGGCUGAAGGACACAAAAGGCCCCUGGUCUUGAGGUAGGACUAACGCUGUAGAGCAAUUUGCCCUCCAGAGCUUCCCUGGGAUGGGGUGGGGUGGUGAAGCCGGCCUUCAGCUGAGACCACAACCUUGCUGAGCUUCUUGUCUCCUGCCCCCCUCACUCUUCUGAGAAUGACCCUAAUUAAAUCAUUUGAACAAUGGCCUUCUCAGGGUGGGCUUCUAAGGAACCUGAUACAAAAUAGUCACAUGAAACCAAUGCGAUGGUGAACUUUAUAGUAUGUAAAUUCUAUCUCAGUGAGGCUGUUGUAUUUUUUUUAAAUACUUGCUAGUUAUUUACAGUAACUACGUUUAAGUUCUACCUCAUCAGGGUGUACAUUCCUGGGAACCCCUGGUCAGGUCAAACAUCUUACGUUGAACAUCGAAGUGUUGCCGAUUUAAAGGCGAAAUGUGCUUGUUCUUGAGGUCCCAAAUUAAUAAGUAAUUGAAUUCUUCUGAAAACCCUAAAUUCCACUGAAAUGGCCUCCAAGAUAGUAACUGAGAGUAAACAUGGGAUACUCUGCAACAGGUCAAGGCAGCUACCCCUCAUCGAUAAGGGUGAUGAUUUGCAGAUUCUUUUGUCUUUUUGCUCAGUACACACUUCAGAGCCACAAAGCACAUACAUUUACUCAAUGUUUAUGUAAUUCAGCCUUUACUGUAAAAAAGGAAACAAUAAAACCAAAACCCUAUUAAUAAACACAA